UACGGGGGGGGGCAAGCGUUGUUCGGAAUUACUGGGCGUAAAGGGCUCGUAGGCGGCCAACUAAGUCAGACGUGAAAUCCCUCGGACUUAACCGGGGAACUGCAUCUGAUACUGGAUGGCUUGAGUUCGGGAGAGGGAUGCGGAAUUCCAGGUGUAGCGGUGAAAUGCGUAGAUAUCUGGAGGAACACCGGUGGCGAAAGGCGGCAUCC
rnacentral:rRNA from 1 species